CCUACGGGAGGCACCAGUGGGGAAUAUUGCACAAUGGGCGCAAGCCUGUUGCAGACAUGCAGCGUGUAUGAAGAAGGCCUUCGGGUUGUAAAGUACUUUCAACGGGGAGGAAGGCGAUAAGGUUAAUAACCUUGUCGAUUGACGUUACCCGCAGAAGAAGCACCGGCUAACUCCGUGCCAGCAGCCGCGGUAAUACGGAGGGUGCAAGCGUUAAUCGGAAUUACUGGGCGUAAAGCGCACGCAGGCGGCCUGUCAAGUCGGAUGUGAAAUCCCCGGGCUCAACCUGGGAACUGCAUUCGAAACUGGCAGGCUAGAGUCUUGUAGAGGGGGGUAGAAUUCCAGGUGUAGCGGUGAAAUGCGUAGAGAUCUGGAGGAAUACCGGUGGCGAAGGCGGCCCCCUGGACAAAGACUGACGCUCAGGUGCGAAAGCGUGGGGAGCAAACAGGAUUAGAUACCCCCGUAGUC
rnacentral:rRNA from 1 species